rnacentral:rRNA from 1 species
GGUGAGUAACACGUGGGAACGUGCCUUUAGGUUCGGAAUAGCUCCUGGAAACGGGUGGUAAUGCCGAAUGUGCCCUUCGGGGGAAAGAUUACGCCAGNGCGGCCCGCGUCUGAUUAGCUAGUUGGUGAGGUAACGGCUCACCAAGGCGACGAUCAGUAGCUGGUCUGAGAGGAUGACCAGCCACACUGGGACUGAGACACGGCCCAGACUCCUACGGGAGGCAGCAGUGGGGAAUCUUGCGCAAUGGGCGAAAGCCUGACGCAGCCAUGCCGCGUGAAUGAUGAAGGUCUUANGAUUGUAAAAUUCUUUCACCGGGGACGAUAAUGACGGUACCCGGAGAAGAAGCCCCGGCUAACUUCGUGCCAGCAGCCGCGGUAAUACGAAGGGGGCUAGCGUUGCUCGGAAUUACUGGGCGUAAAGGGCGCGUAGGCGGAUCGUUAAGUCUGAUGUGGAAUCCCACGGCUCGACCGUGGAGGGUGCCUUUGAUACUGGCGAUCUUGAG